GCUGAUGCGUGCCGGUGAGCGGCGGUAAUACAGGGGUCCGAAGCGGUGUUCGGAUUCACUGGGCGUAGAGGGUGCGGAGGGUGUGGGGUAAGUCGGAUGUGAAAUCUCCGAGCUCAACUCGGAAAUGGCAUUGGAAACUACCCUGCUGGAGGGUCGGAGGGGGGACUGGAAUUCUCGGUGUAGCAGUGAAAUGCGGAGAUAUCGAGAGGAACACCAGUGGCGAAGGCGAGUCCCUGGACGACUCCUGACACUGAGGCACGAAAGCUAGGGGAGCAAACAGGAUUAGAUACCCGAGUAGUC
rnacentral:rRNA from 1 species